rnacentral:rRNA from 1 species
UACAGAGGGUGCGAGCGUUGUCCGGAAUUACUGGGCGUAAAGGGCGCGUAGGCGGCCCGAUAAGUCGGGGGUGAAAUUCCGUGGCUUAACCACGGAACUGCCUUCGAGACUGUCAGGCUCGAGCACGGUAGAGGCAGAUGGAAUUCCCGGUGUAGCGGUGGAAUGCGUAGAGAUCGGGAAGAACACCAGUGGCGAAGGCGGUCUGCUGGGCCGUUGCUGACGCUGAGGCGCGACAGCGUGGGGAGCAAACAGGAUUAGAUACCCUGGUAGUCCACGCCGUAAACGAUGGGCACUAGGCGUCGGGGGGAGCGACCCUCCCGGUGCCGUAGUUAACACUCUAAGUGCCCCGCCUGGGGAGUACGGCCGCAAGGCUGAAACUCAAAG